rnacentral:rRNA from 1 species
GAUGAACGCUGGCGGCGUGCCUAAUACAUGCAAGUCGAGCGAACGGACGAGAAGCUUGCUUUUCUGAUGUUAGCGGCGGACGGGUGAGUAACACGUGGAUAACCUACCUAUAAGACUGGGAUAACUUCGGGAAACCGGAGCUAAUACCGGAUAAUAUUUUGAACCGCAUGGUUCAAAAGUGAAAGACGGUCUUGCUGUCACUUAUAGAUGGAUCCGCGCUGCAUUAGCUAGUUGGUAAGGUAACGGCUUACCAAGGCAACGAUGCAUAGCCGACCUGAGAGGGUGUACGCCCACACUGGAACUGAGCCGCGGCCAAACCUCCUAGGGGGGGCAGCAGAGGGGAAUCUUCCGCAAGGGGCGAAGGCCUGACGGAGCACCGCCGGGGGAGUGAUAAAGGUCUCCGGAUCUAAAAAUUCUUUUAUUGGGAAAAAACAUAUGUGAAAUUAACUGUGCACAUCUUGACGGUCCCUAAUCAGAAAGCCACGGCAAACUCCGUC